rnacentral:lncRNA from 1 species
CUGGAGGAACAGACCUGGACUUCUGCCAAACUGAGGUCCCUGCCUGGAUGCAAAGUUCACAUGUCUGAGCACACAUAAGGGACUCUGUGAAUAUGUGUGUAUUUGUUGUGUGCAUGCCCGCAGAAUGGGAUACAGAGACUCACUCUAUUCAUCAGGGAUUUGUUUUAAUCAGGAAUUGGCAGGCAUGGGAAGAGCACGCUGUCCAGGGUCGGCAAGGCCUGGAAAUGUCAGAGCAUCAGAAUACUGAAAAUAAAAGACAUGGUCAGUACUCAUACAUAGACAUGACACACACAUAUACACACAUACGCAGACUCACACAUGUCAACAGCUGAAUGAAAAAUGUCUUUCAUUCCUGGAAGCAGGAGUCAUAUCACUUUCUCCAAAGCAUGUCUUUUUCUAUGCAAUGGUGUGCUUUAGGUGCAAGAACACUCGAGAAGCGGCAAAGAUAAAGUUAAACAAAUCCAAGUGUUAUUUAAAUCUAUUUUGGUGGCGAGGCUGGGGACACUGGGAAUAUGAUACU